rnacentral:rRNA from 1 species
UACGUAGGGUGCAAGCGUUGUCCGGAAUUAUUGGGCGUAAAGAGCUCGUAGGCGGUCUGUCACGUCGGCUGUGAAAACCCGAGGCUCAACCUCGGGCCUGCAGUCGAUACGGGCAAACUAGAGUACUGCAGGGGAGACUGGAAUUCCUGGUGUAGCGGUGAAAUGCGCAGAUAUCAGGAGGAACACCGGUGGCGAAGGCGGUUCUCUGGGAAUGACCUGACGCUGAGGAGCGAAAGUGUGGGGAGCGAACAGG